rnacentral:rRNA from 1 species
UGAUGACGAGACGCUAAGGCGUUGAAGCAGUGUAUGUCAGACUUCCAAGAAAAGCUCGCAAUGUCACAAAUGAAAAAUGCCUGUACCAUAACCGACACAGGUGGGUAGGUAGAGUAUACUAAGGGGCGCGAGAUAACUCUCUCUAAGGAACUCGGCAAAAUGACUCCGUAACUUCGGGAGAAGGAGUGCCUUAUUUAUAAGGUUGCAAUAACAAGAUCCAAGCAACUGUUUAUCAAAAACACAGGUCUCCGCUAAGUCGUAAGACGAUGUAUGGGGGCUGACGCCUGCCCAGUGCCAGAAGGUUAAAGAAGUUGGUUAGUGUAUGCGAAGCUGAUGACUGAAGCCCUGGUGAACGGCGGCCGUAACAAUAACGGUCCUAAGGUAGCGAAAUUCCUUGUCGGGUAAGUUCCGACCCGCACGAAAGGCGUAAUGAUUUGGAUACUGUCUCGGAGAGAGGCUCGGUGAAAUAGACUUGUCUGUGAAGAUGCGGACUACCUGCACCAGGACAGAAAGACCCUAUGAAGCUUUACUGUAACUUGAAAUUGGAAUUGGACUUUGCUUGCGCAGUAUAGGUGGGAAGCGUUGAAAAUAUUCUUGCGGGAGUAUUGGAGCUAUCAGUGAGAUACCACUCUUGUAAUGUUAGAUCUCUAACUUUGAACCAUAAUCUGGUCAAAGAACAGUUUCAGGUGGGCAGUUUGACUGGGGCGGUCGCCUUCCAAAUGGUAACGGAGGCGUACAAAGGUUUCCUCUGAACGGAUAGAAAUCGUAUCUAGAGUGUAAAGGCAUAAGGAAGCUUGACUGUGAGACCUACAAGUCUAGCAGGGACGAAAGUCGGUCUUAGUGAUCUGACGGUACUGAGUGGAAAGGCCGUCACUCAGCGGAUAAAAGUUACUCUAAGGAUAACAGGCUGAUCUCCCCCAAGAGUUCACAUCGACGGGGAGGUUUGGCACCUCGAUGUCGGCUCAUCGCAUCCUGGGGCGGUAGUACGUCCCAAGGGUUGGGCUGUUCGCCCAUGAAAGCGGUACGCGAGCUGGGUUCAGAACGUCGUGAGACAGUUCGGUCCAUAUCCGGUGUAGGCGCUAGAAUAUUGAGAGGAGCCUUCUUUAGUACGAGAGGACCGAGAAGGACACACCGCUGGUGUACCAGUUAUCGUGCCAACGGUAAACGCUGGGUAGCUAUGUGUGGAGUGGAUAACCGCUGAAAGCAUCUAAGUGGGAAGCCCACCUCGAGAUGAG